rnacentral:lncRNA from 1 species
GGUACUACUGUGAAGUGGCCCUCAUUUAGUUUUUCUGCGGUGUGAUAACUUCGAUUGAAAGUGGUGGGCUAAUCGACGCAUGACCCAUGGCGACCACUGCGACCCCCGCAACUACCGCCACUCCAGUGCAGCUACCGUGGGCCAGGUGUGUGUAUCUCUAUCCAAGAAUCGAUCAGAUUGAUAAGAUUAGACCUCUGGUGAAUAAUAUGUGGAUUUGCAAUCGUUUAGAUUCUUAGGUGGAAGUUAAUUAGAACUUAAGAGUGAGCACUUUGAUAUCUCUAGGAAAAUUAUGAGUUAGAUUCGAUUCUGGUAGUUGAGCAAUUAAGGUUCUGAGUAUGUUUUGAGGUGCAACUUGAUCGCGACACCAUCACAAAAGGGUUUUUCUCCUUGUUAGGGUUUUGUGUGUUCAAUGUUCAUAGGUGGAGCGCUACAUGUUUGCUUCAAGAAUCGAAAGUGCAAGAUGUGAUUAGGAAGCGUAUUCCAGCGUGAGGAAGAGUCUGUCGGCGAUCCAGAUCUCCAGCGAAACAACUAAUCUAAUCCUCUCUAAGCUGUUGGAUCUGUAAGCUAUUCACAAAACGAUGAACAAUAACAAAAAAGCAGGCUCUUAGUAGGAGCACCAGUUGCAAAGACAACAAAUAACACUUACCUGUAUGCUGGAAACAGUUGCAAGGCUUCAAACAUAUCGAACCAAUUUAACACAAUGCAUCUGAGUGAUACACUUAUGUAUCACUCAGUUUCACAAGCCCUUUAAAAAUUACCACUGGAGAAUGUGUCUAAGGACAAUCAACUGGAACCCAGGACCCAAAAUUGCUUCAUGUUAAUACCCUCGGAUUUCAUGAUAUUGUAUUCCUUUUAAAUAACACACUCCCUUGGCGUAAUUCAGUAUGUCAUGACACCUACAUCGACAUGGUUGCUGCAUUGAUGAGUUUGGAGUAAUCCACGGGAUUCAAAAUGUCCUUCAUCAUUAAGUUAUGUCCCACAACGCCGCACCCAUUUUCUUCACUGAUUGAGAUGCAGAUUUUAUCAACAAAUCAAAUCUUAAAUCCUUCACUAAAGAACUACUCAAUUCACUGUUCAGAUCGCUCUCAUACUUGAACAUGACCGCUACGGAGAAUCCUCUGUAAAACUGAACAAAGAGGAAUUCUUACAAAGAGAAAUUAUUUUUCUUUUAAUUUCAACUAACACGUCAUUCUGUGCUUUUGGUGUAAUAGUAGUGAAAUCUUGGA